CCUACGGGAGGCUGCAGUGAGGAAUAUUGGUCAAUGGACGAGAGUCUGAACCAGCCAAGUAGCGUGAAGGAUGACUGCCCUAUGGGUUGUAAACCUCUUUUAUUCGGGAAUAAUAUGCCUUACGUGUGGGAUUUUGCAUGUACCAUAUGAAUAAGGAUCGGCUAACUCCGUGCCAGCAGCCGCGGUAAUACGGAGGAUGCGAGCGUUAUCCGGAUUUAUUGGGUGUAAAGGGAGCGUAGGCGGAUAGUUAAGUCAGUUGUGAAAGGUUGGGGCUCAACCCCGAAAUUGCCGUUGAGACUGGCAAUCUUGAGUACUGUAGAGGUGAGCGGAAUACGUGGUGUAGAGGUGAAAUGCUUAGAUAUCGCGAAGAACUCCGAUUGCGAAGGCAGCUCACUGGACAGUAACUGACGCUGAGGCUCGAAAGUAUGGGUAUCAAACAGGAUUAGAUACCCGAGUAGUC
rnacentral:rRNA from 1 species